rnacentral:rRNA from 1 species
UACGUAGGGUGCAAGCGUUGUCCGGAAUUACUGGGCGUAAAGGGCUCGUAGGUGGCCAACUAAGUCAGACGUGAAAUCCCUCAGCUUAACUGGGGAACUGCGUCUGAUACUGGAUGGCUUGAGUUUGGGAGAGGGACGCGGAAUUCCAGGUGUAGCGGUGAAAUGCGUAGAUAUCUGGAGGAACACCGGUGGCGAAGGCGGCGUCCUGGACCAACACUGACACUGAUGAGCGAAAGCCAGGGGAGCAAACGGG